rnacentral:rRNA from 1 species
GAUGAACGCUGGCGGCGUGCCUAAUACAUGCAAGUCGAGCGAACAGACGAGGAGCUUGCUCCUCUGACGUUAGCGGCGGACGGGUGAGUAACACGUGGAUAACCUACCUAUAAGACUGGGAUAACUUCGGGAAACCGGAGCUAAUACCGGAUAAUAUAUUGAACCGCAUGGUUCAAUAGUGAAAGACGGUUUUGCUGUCACUUAUAGAUGGAUCCGCGCCGCAUUAGCUAGUUGGUAAGGUAACGGCUUACCAAGGCAACGAUGCGUAGCCGACCUGAGAGGGUGAUCGGCCACUCUGGAACUGAGACACGGUCCGGACUCCUACGGGAGGCAGCAGUAGGGAAUCUUCCGCAAUGGGCGAAAGCCUGACGGAGCAACGCCGCGUGAGUGAUGAAGGUCUUCGGAUCGUAAAACGCUGUUAUUAGGGAAGAACAAAUGUGUAAGUAACGAUGCACGUCUUGACGGUACCGAAGCAGAAAGCCACGGCUAACUACGU